GCCCUUGGGAGGGGAACAACAGCUGGAAACGGUUGCUAAUACCCCAUAGAAUUUAGUACCUCUACGAGGUAGGCUGAGGAGCAAAAGGGAGGAAUCCGCCCAAGGAGGGGCUCGCGUCUGAUUAGUUAGUUGGUGAGGCAAUGGCUUACCAAGGCGACGAUCAGUAGCUGGUCCGAGAGGAUGAUCAGCCACACUGGGACUGAGACACGGCCCAGACUCCUACGGGAGGCAGCAGUGGGGAAUUUUCCGCAAUGGGCGAUAUUCUGACGGAGCAAUGCCGCGUGAAG
rnacentral:rRNA from 1 species